rnacentral:rRNA from 1 species
AUUGAACGCUGGCGGCAUGCCUUACACAUGCAAGUCGAACGGCAGCACGGGAGCUUGCUCCUGGUGGCGAGUGGCGAACGGGUGAGUAAUGCAUCGGAACGUACCCGGAAGGGGGGGAUAACGUAGCGAAAGUUACGCUAAUACCGCAUAUUCUGUGAGCAGGAAAGAGGGGGAUCGCAAGACCUCUCGCUUUCGGAGCGGCCGGUGUCGGAUUAGCUAGUUGGUGGGGUAAAGGCCUACCAAGGCGACGAUCCGUAGCGGGUCUGAGAGGAUGGUCCGCCACCCUGGAACGGAGACGCGGACCAGGCUCCUACGAGACGGAGCAGUGGGGAAUUGUAGACAACGGGCGAAAACCUGAGCCGGCCAUGCCGCGUGAGUUAAGACGGCCUUCCGGUUGUAAAGCUCUUUCGCCUGAAAAGAAAUCGCACAGGCUAAUACCUUGUGUGGAUGACGGUAUCAGCAUAAGAAGCACCGGCUAACUACGUGCCAGCAGCCGCAGUAA